UCUGUGUAUACCAGUAGAAAAGGUUUUUGUUUAUGUAGCUGUUUCGUGGUGAAAGUCCUUUAUGGGGACCAAAUUUCCCCACAAGAAAUUGAGCACAUGGUUGUUUUUGCAUGCCAAAAGAAUGAAUAUUAGGAAACAUUGAAAAAAGUCUUAGAUAAUACAAUUAUAUUCUACUAAAAAUAAACACAACAAUGUGCGCUAAUUAGAUAAUGCGAUAAUCAUGUUUGGAAACUCUUUUCAGCUCUUAUUUUUACAAAAUAAUAUUGCGGAUCAGAUUUCUCUGAGCGCUUGUGUUGUUUACCAAGAAAAUGCAGUCCUGUUGGUUUUUAUUUCUGUAUCGCAUCGCGACUAUUAAUAACAAGCACAGCAUCAUCAACGGUGAUUAUAAGAACUACUGCAAUCCCUGCGGUUUUUCCUUUUGGUAAAUGCGUUCUGGUCGUGACCAAGGGUGGUCUUCCAAAUCAGCCGGGAAUAAGGCUAUUGUUGCAGAACAAAAUGCCCCAACCACUGCUGUGGUAAAUAUGUACCAGCAGUACUGCCAACCGCCGUCGGUGCAAUGAUUUCGAUAGCUGAACAAACGCCAUCUUCUGGGCAUUCCCACAGCUUGCCGACACCAGCUAUUAUAUCACGUCUGAAUGCAACUGCGGCUAAAUUUGGUUAUUAACAGUGCAAUAGUGCCAUGUCAUUGGCAAAAACACUAAGGGUUGCUGGCAUAUAGAGGUUGUAAAGUUUUUGGAAUCGAAGAACCUACUCGAUGAAGAUGAUGGCCCCAAACCUAUGAUGAAACAUCUUCUGGCAUGCCUUUGACAAUCGUUAAAUAUAUAUAUACAAAAUAUUUAUCGUUCUGCAGAACGUGCAUGCAUAUUCAAUUCCGAUUUUAUGGGUCGAUUACGGAGGACAACCGAACUUCAGUUGGUUGGCCAGUAGCUGAAAUGGUAUUACAGAUGGCAACUAGCAACUGAAAGCUAGAAACUGAGUUGCGCUAUAUUGGCAACUGCAUUUUUGAGGCUGCCGGGAAAUUUUGAUUGAGAUACUUUAUUUCUUUUUUCAACUUUUUUUAAUUUGUAUCAUUUUGAACUUUAUGAAACUUAAUUAUUGCUAUUCAUAAUAUAAUACAUUUUCAUUUCAGUGGCGCUGUCCAUCGGCAGCCCAACUGAGAUUCCGUUGCCAUCCAUAAUCGAUCCAUACGUCAUACUCGCACGAACUAAUCAAGGCUAUCACAGAUUCCAUCGUAGUCCGAUUUUACGUGAAAUCUACGAAAAUGCUAUUGAAUUCGAGUAGCUACGAACGCAGCGUAUGCUUUGAAUACACACGUUUAUAACAGUUCCUAUUCAGUGAUCGCCUUUUCGUAGAUUUUAUGAAAAAUCGGACUACGAUGGAUUCCGUGAUUGCCACCAAUAUGUAUUCUCCUUUGACAAGAUGUUGGAGAAUCGCGGCAACACAGCCGUAUACCUACUCUAUACUUUUACGCGCAUAUGCUAAACUUCUCGAACCUAGCUAAAGUGCUUGACAAAGGCAGAAGGCAUAUCUUCAAUAUUAUAACUUAAAUUAAGAAAGUUUAAUGCAUGCAAUAAAAGAAUACAAC